AUUGAACGCUGGCGGCAGGCCUAACACAUGCAAGUCGGACGGUAGCACAGGGGAGCUUGCUCCCCGGGUGACGAGUGGCGGACGGGUGAGUAAUGUCUGGGAAACUGCCUGAUGGAGGGGGAUAACUACUGGAAACGGUAGCUAAUACCGCAUAACGUCGCAAGACCAAAGAGGGGGACCUUCGGGCCUCUUGCCAUCAGAUGUGCCCAGAUGGGAUUAGCUAGUAGGUGGGGUAACGGCUCACCUAGGCGACGAUCCCUAGCUGGUCUGAGAGGAUGACCAGCCACACUGGAACUGAGACACGGUCCAGACUCCUACGGGAGGCAGCAGUGGGGAAUAUUGCACAAUGGGCGCAAGCCUGAUGCAGCCAUGCCGCGUGUAUGAAGAAGGCCUUCGGGUUGUAAAGUACUUUCAGCGGGGAGGAAGGUGUUGUGGUUAAUAACCACAGCAAUUGACGUUACCCGCAGAAGAAGCACCGGCUAACUCCGUGCCUGCAGCAGCCGCAG
rnacentral:rRNA from 1 species